rnacentral:rRNA from 1 species
CCUUUUUUUCAAAACAUGUCUUAAUGUUUAUUUUUAUUAAGUCUAUCCUGCUCAAUGAUUAUUAUUUAAAUUAAAUAGCCGCAGUAUUUUGACUGUGCGAAGGUAGCAUAAUCAUUUGUCUUUUAAUUGAAGGCUUGUAUGAAUGGUUUGAUGAGGGAAUAACUUUCUUUAUAUUAAAUAGUUGAAUUUAAUUUUUAAGUUAAAAAGCUUAGAUUAAUAAAGGGGACGAGAAGACCCUAUAGAAUUUUAUUUUUUAUAUAUUAUUAUGAUACUUUGGUUAUAGUGCUACAUUGUAGUUAUAAAAAGUUUUGUUGGGGCGACAGUGAGAUUUUCAUAACUCUCAUAUAUUAUAAAUUUAUUAAUUAAUAUAUUUAAGAUCCUUUAUUAAGGAUAUUUAGAUUAAAUUACCUUAGGGAUAACAGCGUAAUUUUUUUGGAGAGUUCUUAUCGAUAAAAGAGUUUGCGACCUCGAUGUUGGAUUAAAAUUAGAUUUAAGUGCAGCAGCUUAAUUUCUAGGUCUGUUCGACCUUUAAAAUUUUACAUGAUCAAUUUUCAACCCG